rnacentral:rRNA from 1 species
GCUAAAUAUAUCCACAGAACCGAUAGCGAACAAGUACCGUGAGGGAAAGUUGAAAAGCACUCUGGAGAGAGAGUCAAAAGACCGUGAAACCGCUCAGAGUAUAAGCCCAUGGCAGCUUGGAAGGCAUGUCGCUAGCGGGGCGUCGCUGUUGCCAGCAAUGGUGUACGGACGCAACCUUGUCCCAGUAACGGCUCGUCAUGGUAGGGGGGUCGAGUCCACAUCCCGCCGUCGUGAGGGAGGUCGCCUUUUGGCGUGUUGGUCUUUCGGGAGAUCCUCGUGGUCGAACGUUGGGCUCUUCGCGUCGGGCACUUCUUGAUCACGGACGUUCAGACGCUGGGGCAAGUCGCGACAAUCAAGCCCACCACGGCACGUUGUGAGGUCACCCACAGGCUCGACUAUCGAUCGUGGCUCUUGACGACGAGCAAGCAAGCGUGUGCGUCGCGAAAGGUUCUUUUUACCCGGCCCUCUCCCACAAGGGAGUGUUGGUCGCGGGACGGUUGAACGACGCACGCUCAAAAGUCAGAGUCGGGCGAUGACGGAGCAUUCCUGGUAUGAUCCUCUUGCGACGAGCCGGCUUCUGGCCGUGCUCCGGCGACCGGGUCCAUCGCACGUGUCGCGAUGACCUAUAAAGACGGUUUGGAACGUGCACAUCCACAUGGGUGUGUUCGUCCUCUCGGUCGGUCGCCGGGUCGAGUGGUGUAAAGUCCAAGCCCAUCGGUCACGUCUCGAAACACG